rnacentral:RNase_P_RNA from 1 species
GAAGCUGACCAGACAGUCGCCGCUUCGUCGUCGUCCUCUUCGGGGGAGACGGGCGGAGGGGAGGAAAGUCCGGGCUCCAUAGGGCAGGGUGCCAGGUAACGCCUGGGGGGGAAACCCACGACCAGUGCAACAGAGAGCAAACCGCCGAUGGCCCACGCAAGUGGGAUCAGGUAAGGGUGAAAGGGUGCGGUAAGAGCGCACCGCGCGGCUGGUAACAGUCCGUGGCACGGUAAACUCCACUCGGAGCAAGGCCAAAUAGGGGUUCACAAGGUACGGCCCGUACUGAACCCGGGUAGGCUGCUUGAGCCAGUGAGCGAUUGCUGGCCUAGAUGAAUGACUGUCCACGACAGAACCCGGCUUAUCGGUCAGCUUCACUC